UGCAGCCAUGAUGUUUCAGUUGCAAAGGACU
rnacentral:piRNA from 1 species